rnacentral:rRNA from 1 species
UACGUAGGCGGGAAAUUAAGUCAGUAGUGAAAUCCCACAGCUUAACCGUGGAACUGUUAUUGAUACUGGUUUUCUUGAAUAUAGUUGAGGUAGGCGGAAUGUGUAAUGUAGCGGUGAAAUGCUUAGAUAUUACACAGAACACCGAUUGCGAAGGCAGCUUACUAAACUAUGAUUGACGCUGAGGUACGAAAGCGUGGGGAGCGAACAGGAUUAGAUACCCUGGUAGUC